rnacentral:lncRNA from 1 species
GCUCUAAUCAGAAAUGCUAAUAUCAGCCUAGGGGGUAUCUAAUGGCUGUGAUCUAGUCCUCAUCCUCCUAGCAUAAGUGGUGAGGGAAGGUCGAGCCUGAUGAGACUGAGUCUGGCGUGGAGCUCGGUGAGCUGGAUGACUCUGUGCCGAAAUCUCUGACUCAGCUGCCUGUGGCACAGAUGGUCCAUGAACCUCUCUCUCUCUCCGUAGAGCUCCUAUCUGCUCUCUAAGAUCACUGAUCUCAGCAGUCAUGAUAUCUAGUCUGCUCGUCAGCCCAUCAGUGAUAGUCCUCGCCUGAGCUGACAUAAGCUCAGUCAU